GACGAACGCUGGCGGCGUGCUUAACACAUGCAAGUCGAACGGAAAGGCCCUGCUUUUGUGGGGUGCUCGAGUGGCGAACGGGUGAGUAACACGUGAGUAACCUGCCCUUGACUUUGGGAUAACUUCAGGAAACUGGGGCUAAUACCGGAUAGGAGCUCCUGCUGCAUGGUGGGGGUUGGAAAGUUUCGGCGGUUGGGGAUGGACUCGCGGCUUAUCAGCUUGUUGGUGGGGUAGUGGCUUACCAAGGCUUUGACGGGUAGCCGGCCUGAGAGGGUGACCGGCCACAUUGGGCCUGAGAUACGGCCCAGACUCCUACGGGAGGCAGCAGUGGGGAAUAUUGCACAAUGGGCGGAAGCCUGAUGCAGCAACGCCGCGUGCGGGAUGACGGCCUUCGGGUUGUAAACCGAUUUCGCCUGUGACGAAGCGUGAGUGACGGUAAUGGGUAAAGAAGCACCGGCUAACUACGUG
rnacentral:rRNA from 1 species